CGGCGGCGCGGCGGGACUCACCGGGGACGCGCUCUCCGCCGAGGUGUGGAAGCAGCUGUGGCCGGCCAACAGGCGGCGGCAGAGGGAGUUCUUCUGCUUCGGCAUGGACAUCCUGCUCAAGCUCGACCUCGAGGGGACGCGCCGCUUCUUCGACGCCUUCUUCGACCUCGAGCCGCACUACUGGCACGGCUUCCUGUCGUCCAGGCUGUUCCUGCCGGAGCUCCUGAUGUUCGGGCUCACGCUGUUCGGGAACGCCUCCAACACGUCCAGGCUCGAGAUCAUGGCCAAGGGCACC
rnacentral:lncRNA from 1 species